rnacentral:rRNA from 1 species
GACGAACGCUGGCGGCGUGCCUAAUACAUGCAAGUCGAACGCAGUGGGGACGGGUGAGUAACACGUGGGUGACCUCCCAUCAGAGGGGAUAAAACUUGGCAACAGGUGCUAAACCGAUACUGAUGGAUGGACCCGCGGUGCAUUAGCUAGUUGGUGAGGUAACGGCUCACCAAGGCCACGAGGCCUAGCCGGCCUUGGAGGGUGAACCGCCACACUGGGACCUGGACACGGCCCAGACUCCGUAGGGAGGCCAGAGUAGGGGAUUUUUGGCAAUUGGGGGAACCCUGACCGAACAACGCCGCGUGAUUGAAGAAGGUUUUCGGAUCGGAAAGCUACGUUGUUAAGGAAGCGGUACUUAACCAGAAAGGGACGGCUAACUACGUGCCAGCCGCCGCGGUAAUAC